rnacentral:sRNA from 1 species
AAUGGAGUGGUUGGAAGAUUGUAUUGUUUUAGAGAAAUCCAAUUACUAAAACUAUGCAAUCUUCCAACUAUUACAUU